rnacentral:rRNA from 1 species
UAGGGAAUCUUCGGCAAUGGACGAAAGUCUGACCGAGCAACGCCGCGUGAGUGAAGAAGGUUUUCGGAUCGUAAGACUCUGUUGGUAGAGAAGAACGUUGGUGAGAGUGGAAAGCUCAUCAAGUGACGGUAACUACCCAGAAAGGGACGGCUAACUACGUGCCAG